GAUGAACGCUGGCGGCGUGCUUAACACAUGCAAGUCGAACGGAAAGGCCUCAGCUUGCUGGGGUACUCGAGUGGCGAACGGGUGAGUAACACGUGGGUGAUCUGCCCUGCACUUUGGGAUAAGCUUGGGAAACUGGGUCUAAUACCGAAUAUGACCACUUCUUGGCUGUUGUGGUGGAAAGCUUUUGCGGUGUGGGAUGAGCCUGCGGCCUAUCAGCUUGUUGGUGGGGUAAUGGCCUACCAAGGCGGCGACGGGUAUCCGGCCUGAGAGGGUGUACGGACACAUUGGGACUGAGAUACGGCCCAGACUCCUGCGGGAGGCAGCAGUGGGGAAUAUUGCACAAUGGGCGCAAGCCUGAUGCAGCGACGCCGCGUGGGGGAUGAAGGCCUUCGGGUUGUAAACUCCUUUCGCUAUCGACGAAGCCACUUGUGGUGACGGUAGGUAGAUAAGAAGCACCGGCUAACUACGUGCCAGCAGCCGCGGUAA
rnacentral:rRNA from 1 species